UACAUCCUCGAGUUCCCGAGGAUCUGCAACUAAAAUCAUUACUUGACACUUGUCAACUGUCAUGAAUAGACACAGUGACAAUAUAUUUGCCUCUAUUUGGGUAUAUUCGAAUUUUUCAAGUGAAAAAGUGUUGAAGAGCAAUUUUUAUUGCUUAAUUCAUACAAAUAUAUUGGUUAAUGAGGAAGAACAAAUUUUACCCAAAUUCCUAAAUUAUCUGAAAAAGUGAGCAGAAUUUGGCAGAUUGUUUCUAACGAAACUAAUCAUGGAUAUUUUUAAGUCAUUACUUUCAAAACCAACAGAGAAUAAUGAUGUGGCCUAUUGUUAAAGAAUAUGAGCAGGUAUUCAUACAAAUAUGGCGAUAGAGAGCUUGAAUAAAUAUCCGAAAUCUAAUAAAAUAGAAGGAAAAGAAAAUAAGAGUUGACAAGCUAUCAGAUUUGUUGGAAGAAAUAGUUGAUGAAAAGAUGUGGAUGAAAAUUAUGAGAAAUGAAAGACCUAACUCCAACAACUAUCAACAAAAAAUUUCUGUAGAAUCUCAUAAAAAAGCAGAAACAUGAAAGACUUAAUAGAGGAGGUCUGUAUAUGAUGAUAAAUAUUAUAAUACACAAUUUAUAUCAUCAUGUGAUCCAGAUUGUGGUUUAGGAUAUUGUAGUCAUUAUUAAAUAUGCUUGCACAAAUAUAAAUGUGAGUGUUCCACUAAUAGCAUCAAAGUUAUAUUGUGUAAGCAUUUGCAUGCUGUUACUAUGUUCGGACAAAGAAUAAAUUCUGUUUAAGAUGACGACAACAAUUUAGAAAUUAAUGAGCCAUCAACAAGUUAACUAUAAUGAAGAUGGGGGACAUUUUAUAGAUGAAACCAUUUCUAGUUCACAAAAUUUCACAUCUAUAAGCAAUGACACAGAAAAUGAUUUGCUGAAAUGUGUAAAACAAUUGAAGACUCUCAAUGCAGAAGGAAAGAGGAGAUUAUUUGCAACUAUCAAUGGAAAAUUUUCCAAACAUAGGGUCAAUGCCAAGAAGAACUAACAUCUAAGAAGUGAAAAUUGAGAAGCAAAUCUAUUUCCCAAGAAAAAAAUGAAUACAGAGACUACCAGAACUUCAUAGCAAAUAAUUUAGAACAUUGAAAUGAGAUUGACAAAAAAAUCGAGGUAAUAAAUUCUAACUGAACCAGCAUGUUACACAUAUAAGAGACGUACAAUGUUCAAAUGUGGAUAGAAGAACCAGUCAAUAUCAAAAUAAAAUAUGACAUACAUCCUUUACAUAAAUCAAUGAAAUUAAUUAUAAUUAAUAUAAUAUAAUUAUAUAUAAUUUUGAACAA